CCUCAUUCGUAUUUCGUUCAUCGUAAGAUUCAGAUGUACUAGAAAAAAAGUAAACCAAAAAAUUCUAAAAUUUGUAUCAACAAAAUUUUGAGUUAGAAUAUUUUGUAUAAUUUUUUUGGAAUACAACACGAAUUUUCCACAUAUUCAAAAUGAAUUUUUGCUCAGUGCCCUACGAAGCUGAUUACGGCAUGUACGCGGACUCUAAGAUGAAAAGCGUGCCUCAAUAUCCGCUGAGCAUGAGUCCUGGGCAGGGUCAAGGACAGUCGAUGGCCAUGCAGCCGCUGAACCCACCGCAGAUGAAUCUGCAGAUGCAGAUGCCCAUGUCGGGUGCCUCCCAGAUGACCUCCUACCCCAUGCAGGGUAUGCCUCUGGGCAUGAUGCCCGCUGGAAACCAGAUGACUCCCAUGUCCACGAUGACCACCCAGCUGCCCAUUGGAGCCGUUACGCCCCUGAGCAGCAUGACCAUGAUGCCCAUGAUGGGUAACCCUAUGGGGGCCAUCGACGCCCCCGGGAUCAAUGCAGUGCUGCCCGACCUGCAGCCCAUGACCUCGAUGGGACAGAUGGGUCAGCCGAUGCAGCAGUACGGUCAGUCUGGCUCCACCACCCAAAUGCAUCAAGGUCGCCUGACUGGCGGAGGUAAUGGUGCUGGUAUGGCUGCAUCCUGUCCCUCGUCACCCUCGCAUUCUGGUAACUGGAGCUCCAAUCCCAACUCCGGUCAGAUGAUGACCAACGGCAACAUGUGGCAGUACAGCCAACCCAUCCAGAGCCCCCAGUAUCCCCAACAGCACCAUUACCAACAGCAGCAGAAUCACCACCAGCAACCGCAGCAGGUCAGCCGAAUGAAGCCCUCCUACGACAUGGCACCCUCUGGCAUGUACCGGGAACUGCGAAAUGGACUGAACAAUCCCUUUUAAUUCCUGACCCGCAGCACACCAUCCAUGCACGAAAAUCCCAAGUACGGCAAGGGCAAUCAGUCAUUCAAUUGUGGAAAAUCGGUUAGCAAGGUCCCCCAUUGGCGUUGACGAAACCAUUGAGCCCAUCAUUAGUUGGUUGUUCGUGCUUUUUCAUGAUUGGUGUCUCUCAAAUUACUUUCGCCUAUACGUACUUUGUUUCACGACUUCCCCUACGCAAGCAUACAACCCAACAGACACUGAAACACACAAGAACACUAAUCAUGGUCGCAAACAUAUUGGUGUGGAAUAAAAGGCUUAAAUGUUCUGGCCAAAAAGGAA